rnacentral:lncRNA from 1 species
UAUAGCUGGGAGCCACUGAAGGUGCUGGGCUGUAGCCUGCUGAAGCGCGAAGGCAAGCCCCCGGCCCAGCCCUCAGCCCCGCCGCCCCCGCCCCCCUCCAAGAAGCCGGCCAGGGCCCCCGCGGGACGGGAGCUCUGCAAGGACGAGGGAAGCGAGCAACCACGAGAAGUCGGGGCACCAGCCACUCCGGAGGCGGGGGCUACCGGGGCAGAGGGCGUGCAAACCCCGGGGGCAGAAGGCGAGAAGACCCCGGGGGCAGAAAGGGAGCAGACCCGGGGGACUGAAGGCGAGAAGACCCCAGGGGCAGAAGGGGAGCAGACCCGGGGGACUGAAGGCGAGAAGACCCCAGGGGCAGAAGGGGAGAAGACCCCAGGGGCAGAAGGGGAGCAGACCCGGGGGACUGAAGGCGAGAAGACCCCGGGGGCAGAAGGAGAGCAGAUCUCGGGGCCUGAAAGCGAGAAGACCCCAGGGGCAGAAGGGGAGCAGACCCGGGGGACUGAAGGCGAGAAGACCCCGGGGGCAGAAGGGGAGAAGACCCCAGGGGCAGAAGGGGAGCAGACCCGGGGGACUGAAGGCGAGAAGACCCCAGAGGCGGGGGCUGCUGGGGAAGAAGGCAAGCAGCCUCAGGACCAAGGCCAGGGCCAGUUGCUGGAGCAUGCAGAAGUUCCCAGUCAGGAGGAGAAAGGCGUUGACAACCAGAAAAUCGAGAUGAUCGAGAAAAGGGCUGAGGAAGGAGAAGUUCUGGAGGAAGGAAGGUUGAAAUGGAACGAAGUAAAUAAAUCGUUUUCUUCUGAGGGAGGUAACCUUUCCCAAGGGACCGGGGCUCAAUGCUCGGAACUAGAACUUGAGGCCACCACAGAUAGCCCAGCCACCACAGCCUUGGGAGUGAAGGAAGUCUAUGUGAACCAGAGAGAGUACGAGGAAGAAAGCCUUGUGAGGAGCGAUGCCCACGAAAUGAUGGCAGGGGAGCAGCUUAGUCAAGGGGCCGAGGAAGAGAAGCAAGCCCUCCAGGGCGCUGAUGGAGGAGGAGAGGUGGAGAAGGAGCCUGAGGGAGGAUAG